ensembl:lncRNA
UGGCUGUAUAGUAUUCUGUGGUGUAUAUGUGCCACAUUUUCUUAAUCCAGUCUGUCACUGAUGGACAUUUGGGUUGAUUCCAAGUCUUUGCUAUUGUGAAUAGUGCCGCUAUAAACAUAAGUGUGCAUGUGUUUUUAUAGCAGCAUGAUUUAUAAUCCUUUGGGUAUAUACCCAGUAAUGGGAUGACCGGGUCAAAUGGUAUUUCUAGUUCUAGAUCCUUGAGGAAUCGCCACACUGUUUUCCACAAUGGUUGAACUAGUUUACAAUCCCACCAACAGUGUAAAAGUGUUCCUAUUUCUCCACAUCCUCUCCAGCACCUGUUGUUUCUGAUUUAUUAAUGAUUGCCAUUCUAACUGGUGUGAGAUGGUAUCUCAUUGUGGUUUUGAUUUGCAUUUCUCUGAUGGCCAGUGAUGAUGAGCAUUUUUUCAUGUGUCUGUUGGCUGUAUGAAUGUCUUCUUUUGAGAAGUGUCUGUUCAUAUCCUUUGCCCAUUUUUUGAUGGGGUUGUUUGUUUUUUUCUUGUAAAUUUGUUUGAGUUCUUUGUAGGUUCUGGAUAUUAGCCCUUUGUCAGAUGAGUAGAUUGCAAAAAUUUUCUCCCAUUCUGUAGGUUGCCUGUUCACUCUGCUGGUAGUUUCUUUUGCUGUGCAGAAGCUCUCUAGUUUAAUUAGAUCCCAUUUGUCAAUUUUGGCUUUUGUUUCCAUUGCUUUUGGUGUUUUAGACAUGAAGUCCUUGCCCAUGCCUAUGUCUUUUUUUUUUUUUUUUUUUUUUUGCAGAUAAAGGCUUGUUUUAUUUUAAUGGCUGAUCUAUGUAGUCACGGAGGCCAGUAUGUACAGACAAAGAGGGGAGCUUUUAUUUCUUGGUCUCUUCCUCCUUGGACAAAGUCUUAAUGAUCUCCUCCUUCUUGGCCUGGAGGCGCUCUUCACGGCGCUUGCAUGCUUCCUUGGUCUUAGACCUGCGGGCCUCAGCCUGGUCAGCCAGGAGCUUCUUGUGGGCCUUGUCUGCCUUCAGCUUGUGGAUGUGUCCCAUGAGAAUAGGCUUGUUUUUGAACACAUUCCCCUUCACCUUCAGGUACAGGCUGUGAUACAUGUGGCGAUCAAUCUUCUUAGACUCACGGUAUCUUCUAAGCAGCCGGCGCAGAAUCCUCAUUCUCCUCAUCCACGUGACCUUCUCUGGCAUUGGCGAUUUCAUUGGUCUCAUUGGGGUCUAACCAGACCUUCUUCUUGCCACAGCGGAGGACACUAGAGGCGAGCCUCUUCUGAAGCCUGAGCAUACUCAUGGCUGCAGCCGCAGCAGCGAAAGGGGACAUGCCUAUGUCUUGAAAGGUAUUACCUAGGUUUUCUUCUAGGGUUUUUAUGGUUUUAGGUCUAACAUUUAAGUCUCUAAUCCAUCUUGAAUUAAUUUUCGUAUAAGGAGUAAGGAAAAGAUCCAGUUUCAGCCUUCUACUUACGGCUAGCCAAUUUUCCCAGCACCAUUUAUUAAAUAGGGAAUCCUUUCCCCAUUUCUUGUUUUUGUCAGGUUUGUCAAAGAUCAGAUGGCUGUAGAUGUGUGGUAUUAUUUCUGAGGGCUCUGUUCUGUUCCAUUGGUCUAUAUCUCUGUUUUGGUACCAGUAUCAUGCUGUUUUGGUUACUGUAGCCUUGUAGUGUAGUUU